rnacentral:rRNA from 1 species
GAUGAACGCUGGCGGCGUGCCUAAUACAUGCAAGUCGAGCGAACAGACGAGGAGCUUGCUCCUCUGACGUUAGCGGCGGACGGGUGAGUAACAUGUGGAUAACCUACCUAUAAAACUGGGAUCACUUCGGGAAACCGGAGCUAAUACCGGAUAAUAUUUUGAAAUGCAUGGUUCACUAGUGAAAGACGGUUUUGCUGUCACUUAUAGAUGGAUCCGCGCCGCAUUAGCUAGUUGGUAAGGUAACGGCUUAACAAGGCAACGAUGCGUAGCCGACCUGAGAGGGUGAACGGCCACACGGGAACUGAGGCACGGUCCAGACUCCUACGGGAGGCAGCAGUAGGGAAUCUUCCGCAAUGGGCGAAAGCCUGACGGAGCAACGCCGCGUGAGUGAUGAAGGUCUUCGGAUCGUAAAACUCUGUUAUUAGGGAAGAACAAAUGUGUAAGUAACUAUGCACGUCUUGACGGUACCUAAUCAGAAAGCCACGGCUAACUACGUG